UACGUAGGGUGCGAGCGUUGUCCGGAAUUAUUGGGCGUAAAGAGCUUGUAGGCGGUUUGUCGCGUCUGCUGUGAAAUCUCAAGGCUCAACCUUGAGCUUGCAGUGGGUACGGGCAGACUAGAGUGUGGUAGGGGAGACUGGAAUUCCUGGUGUAGCGGUGAAAUGCGCAGAUAUCAGGAGGAACACCGAUGGCGAAGGCAGGUCUCUGGGCCACUACUGACGCUGAGACGCGAAAGCGUGGGGAGCGAACAGG
rnacentral:rRNA from 1 species